GAUGAACGCUGGCGGCGUGCCUAAUACAUGCAAGUCGAGCGAACAGACGAGGAGCUUACUCCUCUGACGUUAGCGGCGGACGGGUGAGUAACACGUGGAUAACCUACCUAUAAGACUGGGAUAACUUCGGGAAACCGGAGCUAAUACCGGAUAACAUGUUGAACCGCAUGGUUCAACAGUGAAAGACGGUCUUGCUGUCACUUAUAGAUGGAUCCGCGUCGCAUUAGCUAGUUGGUAAGGUAACGGCUUACCAAGGCAACGAUGCGUAGCCGACCUGAGAGGGUGAUCGGCCACACUGGAACUGAGACACGGUCCAGACUCCUACGGGAGGCAGCAGUAGGGAAUCUUCCGCAAUGGGCGAAAGCCUGACGGAGCAACGCCGCGUGAGUGAAGAAGGUCUUCGGAUCGUAAAACUCUGUUAUUAGGGAAGAACAAAUGUGUAAGUAACUAUGCACGUCUUGACGGUACCUAAUCAGAAAGCCACGGCCAACUACGUG
rnacentral:rRNA from 1 species